rnacentral:rRNA from 1 species
CAGUAGCCACGGUAAUACAGAGGGUGCGAGCGUUAAUCGGAUUUACUGGGCGUAAAGCGUGCGUAGGCGGCUUUUUAAGUCGGAUGUGAAAUCCCUGAGCUUAACUUAGGAAUUGCAUUCGAUACUUGGAAGCUAGAGUAUGGGAGAGGAUGGUAGAAUUCCAGGUGUAGCGGUGAAAUGCGUAGAGAUCUGGAGGAAUACCGAUGGCGAAGGCAGCCAUCUGGCCUAAUACUGACGCUGAGGUACGAAAGCAUGGGGAGCAAACAGGAUUAGAUACCCCCGUAGUCCCUGUCUCUUAUAC